AUUGAACGCUGGCGGCAUGCCUUACACAUGCAAGUCGAACGGCAGCACGGGAGCAAUCCUGGUGGCGAGUGGCGAACGGGUGAGUAAUAUAUCGGAACGUGCCCAGUCGUGGGGGAUAACGUAGCGAAAGCUACGCUAAUACCGCAUACGAUCUAUGGAUGAAAGCGGGGGAUCGCAAGACCUCGCGCGAUUGGAGCGGCCGAUAUCAGAUUAGGUAGUUGGUGAGGUAAAGGCUCACCAAGCCGACGAUCUGUAGCUGGUCUGAGAGGACGACCAGCCACACUGGGACUGAGACACGGCCCAGACUCCUACGGGAGGCAGCAGUGGGGAAUUUUGGACAAUGGGCGCAAGCCUGAUCCAGCAAUGCCGCGUGCAGGAUGAAGGCCUUCGGGUUGUAAACUGCUUUGUACGGAACGAAACGGUGAGCUCUAAUACAGUUCGCUAAUGACGGUACCGUAAGAAUAAGCACCGGCUAACUACGUG
rnacentral:rRNA from 1 species